UACAGAGGUCCCAAGCGUUGUUCGGAUUCACUGGGCGUAAAGGGUGCGUAGGUGGUCAGGUAAGUCGGAUGUGAAAUCUCCGAGCUCAACUCGGAAACUGCAUUGGAAACUACCUGGCUCGAGGGUUGGAGGGGGGACUGGAAUGCUUGGUGUAGCAGUGAAAUGCGUAGAUAUCAGGAGGAACACCGAUGGCGAAGGCAGGUCUCUGGGCCACUACUGACGCUGAGAAGCGAAAGCAUGGGGAGCGAACAGG
rnacentral:rRNA from 1 species